CAGGGAUGUGCUGAUGUGUCCCCACGUCCCCUGUGACACAGGGAUGUGCUGAUGUGUCCCCUGUGACACAGAGACACGUUGAUGUGGCUGUGGUGCUCCGGGAGGGACAGGGGGACAUUGUGGGCACCCCAAGGGCUGUUUGCCCCCCUGGAGCAGCGCUGGGCACCCCAAGGGUGGUGGUUUGGAGCAUCUCCCUGGCCAGGGAAACUCUUGCAGGAGAUAUUUCUCAUAUUUCACCUCUCCCUGUGCCAGGUGGCUCCAAGCCCUGUCCAACCUGGCCUGGGACACUUCCAGGGAUCCAGAGGCAUCCCACCCUCCCAGGGAAGGAUUUCUGGCCAAAAUCCCACCCAGCCCUGCUGGAAGCCAUCCCCCCUUUGCCCAUUGUCCUCCCAGAGCAUUUGCAGUGUUCAUUGAGCUCCUUCCAGAGAAACUGUGGCUGCCCCAUCCCUGGAAAUGUCCAAGGCCAGGCUGGACAGGGUUUAGAGCAGCCUGGGACAUGGAAGGUGUCCCUGCCCAUGGCAGGGGUGGCACUGGGUGAGCUUUAAUGUCCCUUCCAACCAAACUACUCCGGGAUUCUGUGACUCCCUUUCUUUUCCCCAUUUUCCCAAUUAACCUCAUUUUAGGCUGUGAGCAUCAGCAGUGGUUUUUACCCUCUGCUGCCCUUCUGCAGGUUUCACAUCCCCACCUGCCUCACUCCAGCCCUGCUCUUACCACCAGGCAUUAAUAAAACCCAAGCAGAGGCCAGCGUGAUCAUCCCUUGCCUCAGUCUGCUGCAGGGAAACUCUUCCCAACAGAGUGAAAAUUGCACGUGGUUGUGGAAAUUAUGGGGCAGGGAAGAAAUAGCAUUCCAGCCUGGUUUAAUUUGUGAGUGGAUGUCCUGGAAAUAAGGUAUAGCAAUGCAUAGCACAGGUUGUUCUAACGUGGAUGUUGGGCUCGCCCUUGUGUGAGCGUGAUGCUGCCUCAUGAUGUGGGAGCAGAUAUUAUAACCUUGAAGAAUCUUGUAGGACAUAAAAGUUUUAAUUAAAAAUCCGGCUUGGUUAAGGGUAUUUUGGUUUAGUAUGAAUGUCUUCAUUUCUUUUGAAAAAAGAAUUAAAUGAAACCCUUAGUAUUCCUUUUUUUUUUCUUUUUUUUUGAUUCCUGCAUAUUUAUUCUUGAAGUUGAAGCAUUAGAAAAUAAUUGAGUAAAACAAAAUCCACAAGGCUUCAAAUUACCUCUAGCUUAAUGUUUUAUUUAAAAGGUUUGCUAACUGACAUUCUUUAUAAUGAAUUAGGUCACGCGGCUCCGAAGAGUGUUGUCGGUUUUCUUUUUUACAUUUAAAUUUGAGGCUGCUUCCCUUGAAACUUGGGCUCUGCUGGCAGAGCCGUGCACGGCUGUGACUCCCCGGCUCGGGGAAUCUCACUCUAAUUAUUCUCAAUCACACCAGUGCAAAUGAAUCAAAUGAAUAUAUCCAUGUUUGGAGGAUCGAGGCGGUGUUGUCAUGGCAAUCUCCGUAAGGUCAUGAGAAACUCAUGGAUAUUGUUCACUGCCUCUCCUGGGAGCUUCUCCUACCUUUGCAAGACUCUGGGUUUGGGGAAUAACUUUGAAGCGCGACCUUGUUGGGGUUUGGUUGGAAGGAUUUGCUGUUUCCUGCUCAGGGGAGGGUGGUGGAGGGCUCCUGGCAUCCCAAGUCAGGAUGGGACCUGGAAUGUGGGAUCCUCCUGAAUCCCAGGGGCAGCAGAGGUGGUUUAUGGGCUCAGUGUGCUGGGAUGAGCUUUGGCUUGGGUUUUGUUGGGAGAGCUUUGCAAAAAAAAAAUAAAAAUCCCAAACCCCAAAUAAUAACAACAACAAAAAAAGCCCCAAAUAAUAACAACAAGAAAAACCCAACAAACCCCAAAUAAUAACCAAAAAAACCCAAACCCCAAAUAAUAACAAAAAAAACCCCAACCCAAACCCCAAAUAAUAACAACACCAAGAAAACCCCCCAAAUAAUAAGAAAAACCCAACAAACCCCAAAUAAUAACCAAAAAAACCCCAACAAACCCCAAAUAAUAACAAAAAAACCCUCAAACCCCAAAUAAUAACAACAAAAAAAAACCCCAACCCCAAUAAUAACCAAAGAAAAAAACACAAACCCCAAAUAAUAACCAAAAAAAAAAAAACCAACCCAAACCCCAAAUAAUAACAACAAAAAACCAAAUCCCAAAUAAUAACAACAAAAAACCCCAACAAACCCCAAAUAAUAACAAGCCCCCCAAAACAACAACAAAAUAUUCAACUUUGAUUUUCUUUAAGGCUGUGUUGAGUGGAUCAACCUGGUCUAGUGGAAGGUUCCCUGUGCACAGCAGCUCUGAUGAUUUUACAAAUAUCUGGUGUGGAAGGACAAAGGAAUUCACUGAAAUUGGAAUUCACUAAAGUUGGUGUUUUGCAGGUCUUGGUUGAGGCGAUCCCUGUAGUUGUGGUUUUAUGGUUUUGUAUUUCUAAAUUCUUCUUGUUUAAAAAAAAAACCAAAAGAAAACAUAACCAAAAAUAAGUGGUUUUGAUAGACAGACAUCAAAGCAUUUUAAUUUACAACUAAAUCCAUGUUAAAACUGUAAUUAUUUUGCUACCCCAAUACAUAGAUACAUAUAUGUAUAUAAAUAUAUAUAUACAUACACACCCCAAUCUCUUUGAGCCUUCAGACAGCUUUAGCACAUCCCUGUGCCAGUUUUCUUUCGUGCAGGUCGCUUGGUCUGAAAGAUCUGACGUUAUUUAAUGAUUGAUACCAACAUUUUACAAAACCACUGCAAACUAAAGGAAAAUCUUGCACUCUGCUGGCUGUAGAGGAGCUGAGGCUGUGCCUGCAGGGCGUCAGGUGAGUCUCUUGCAUUAUUUGUUUUAUCUGCACUUAAUUGCUCCUGGUUGCAAUUUGGAGUCUUUGGAGGUGUUGAGCCUCUGUGAUCUUGUCCUCUCACACCCAGCGUGUUCUCACGCAGCAGGGGAAGCAAACAGGUCUCCACAGGGUUGUUCACCUGGCAGCUGUGCCCUGUUGGCCCAUCCCUGCAAGGCUUGGCUUGCAGAGCCCCUGCCCUGCCCGGGUGUGCCCUGUCCACACAGGGCUGGCACCUCUGCCCUGCCACUUGUCUGCCCACCGUGGAGCUGUUUCGGCCUGACUUUCUCUAGGACUUGGCACACGGGUUGGAUUAAGGGGUUUUAAAUUGGAAUUUUAGGUUGGCAGAGCUGAAGCCUAGGGAUGAGUUGGUGUUGAAACGCUCAACAGAGCACUAAGCAGGUGGAAUUUGCAAUUAAAGAC
rnacentral:lncRNA from 1 species